rnacentral:rRNA from 1 species
AGCGAACGCUGGCGGCAGGCCUAACACAUGCAAGUCGAGCGCCCGUGGCAACACGGGAGCGGCAGACGGGAGAGUAACACGUGGGAACGUACCCUUUGGUUCGGAACAACCCAGGGAAACUUGGGCUAAUACCGGAUAAGCCCUUACGGGGAAAGAUUCAUCGCCGAAGGAUCGGCCCGCGUCUGAUUAGCUAGUUGGUGGGGUAAUGGCCCACCAAGGCGACGAUCAGUAGCUGGUCUGAGAGGAUGAUCAGCCUCACUGGGACUGAGACACGGCCCAGACUCCUACGGGAGGCAGCAGUGGGGAAUAUUGGACAAUGGGCGCAAGCCUGAUCCAGCCAUGCCGCGUGGGUGAUGAAGGCCCUAGGGUUGUAAAGCCCUUUCGGCGGGGAAGAUAAUGACUGUACCCACAGAAUAAGCCCCGGCUAAAUUCGUGCCAGCAGCCGCGGUAACAC